UUAUGACGUCUGACAAAAAAAGAUCAUAUUUGUCUAGACAUGAAAAAAGACGAUUCAAUUCAACUUUAAUCAAUUCAAUUGACAACAGAAGAGCCUCGAAGAAGAGAGGAGACAAGAAGAUAAAGGUUCAUUAACCAGAUCUACUGUGCAGAAAAUGGUCAUGUCACCCAAGAAGCUGACACUGGUGGUCUACCUGUGCCUACUGAAGUGGAGAGCAGUACCAUCAUGUUGCCACCACACUUGGCUAUCCAGUUUCUACUCCUCCAGUGGAUCUAACUAAGUGACCAUCAGUCCUAAAUGACCAAUUACACGUUGAUGUGGUGAGCAGCAUUUUGAUAUUUCCAAAAAAGACACUCAGACAGUAAAAGUCUUUUCUAUCAUAUAAAUAUGAUAUAAAGCACCCGGUUGAUACGAUCAACUGUUUUCUA